CCCCUAGAUGUUCUGGGCCGCACGCGCGCUACACUGAACAGUUCAACAAGUCUUAACCUUGGCCGAUAGGUCUGGGUAAUCUUUGAACGCUGUUCGUGAUUGGGAUAGACCCUUGCAAUUAUGGGUCUUCAACGAGGAAUUCCUAGUAAACGCAAGUCAUCAGCUUGCAUUGAUUACGUCCCUGCCCUUUGUACACACCGCCCGUCGCACCUACCGAUUGAAUGGUCCGGUGAAAUCUCGGGACGGCGGCUUGGUCGCUUGCGUCCGACUGCUGAAACUUGAUUAAACCAUAUCAUUUAGAGGAAGGUGAANUCGUAACA
rnacentral:rRNA from 1 species